UGACUGAGCUUCUCCCCACAG
rnacentral:miRNA from 1 species